rnacentral:rRNA from 1 species
UGCCAGCAGCCGCCCGGUAAUACGUAGGGCGCGAGCGUUAUCCGGAAUUAUUGGGCGUAAAGAGCUCGUAGGCGGUUUGCCACGUCUGCUGUGAAAGCCCGGGGCUCAACCCCGGGUGUGCAGUGGGUACGGGCAGACUAGAGUGCAGUAGGGGAGACUGGAAUUCCUGGUGUAGCGGUGAAAUGCGCAGAUAUCAGGAGGAACACCGAUGGCGAAGGCAGGUCUCUGGGCUGUUACUGACGCUGAGGAGCGAAAGCAUGGGGAGCGAACAGG